rnacentral:rRNA from 1 species
UACAGAGGGUGCGAGCGUUGUCCGGAAUCACUGGGCGUAAAGGGCGCGUAGGUGGUGGCUUAAGCGUGCGGUGAAAGCUCGGGGCUCAACUCCGAGUCGGCCGUGCGAACUGGGCUCACUGGAGCAUAGUAGAGGCAGGUGGAAUUCCGGGUGUAGCGGUGGAAUGCGUAGAGAUCCGGAAGAACACCGGUGGCGAAGGCGGCCUGCUGGGUUAUGGCUGACACUGAGGCACGAAAGCGUGGGGAGCAAACAGG